rnacentral:lncRNA from 1 species
CUUAAUUAGUUUGUGAUAUAGCGUACUUUUAUUUUAUUAUUCUGUGCUUCAAAAAAUUAUUUUUAAUUAUUCUGUGAUAUUAUUUUUGUUUUAUUACAAGGAACUAUUGUUAAACAUAGUACUAUCCUGCACAGUUGCUAAAGAAACUUACUUUAUUAUCUUAUUUAAAAAUAAAGUUUUUCGUGUACUUCUUAAAUUACAGAAUAACAAAGUGGAAAAUAUAGAGCAAAUUUUUAAAAAUCCGAACCUUAACCGGUUAAAUCAGAUACAAAGCCCAAACCCGAAUUCGACAUACUUUAAGCAUUCAUAUUCAAACCUGAAUCCGGCCAAAAAUUUGAGAACCAAAAUUUGAACCCGAAUUCAAAAUAAUUAUUUCUCUUUACUAUAUUUCAAAAUAUAUUACAUUAAAUCUAAAUUUUUAAAAUACAAAUUCAAAUAAAAUUUGUCCCAUUUUUAUUUUUGAUAUAUUUGAAACUAUAUUCGUUUAGUAUUGAAUAAAUUUAUUUU